UUGGCCUGAUACUGAUUAAAAAAAAAACCUCCAACCCAAUUAUGAAAGUUUUGAGCUUUCCACUGCAUGUGGGAGAAUAGGAGGAGGCUGUCCUACUGGUAACCUGUUAAUAAUCCACCAGAGUUCACCUUUGCUGUUUUUAAUCUUAAUUUGAGCACAAAAUGUUCUUAAAAUAUGACUAUUAUGAUUUUAAUCUUACUAAAAAUUAGUUGUUUUGUAAAGUAUUUUUAAAACUCUGUUCAAUAUAUGUCACUUUCAAAUCUCCCAAGUCAGAAAUGGAAUCUUUUAAAACAAACUUUGAGAGCAUUUAGGGGCACUUCAGAUAAUAAAUGAUCAAUUUCCCAGGAAUUAGAGCCUGAUUCUUCUAACAGGACCUGAGUAAAUGCAGCCUGUGCGUGGGGAAGCUGAUCCCUUUUGCCACCGGUUUUCACGGUCCCUCAGAAAAGAGAACACAGGCCCAUCACCCCAACUAGACGGUGAGCUGAAGCAGGAAGAUCUCAUGUUCAAGGCCAGCCAGAGCCCCAGGGUGAAUUCAAGGUGUAGUCCGUGCAACUUAGCAAGACACCAUAUCAAAGCAGAAAGCGCAAAGAGAGAGCUGGGGUUCCGACAGAGCGUGCGCCUAGUACGUGCGAAGCCCUGGGCUCAUUUCCCACUUCCUCACCCCAAAACAAUGAAGAAAGAAGGCCUCUGGGUAUGCUGCUCACAGUCACAACCAAGUGUCAGUGAACCCCACUGCCUCGGAGGCACACAGUGGGGACAGGGAGGUGCUGAAGUUGCCCCACGAUCCAGAGAGGCACAGAUGUUGGAGAAGAGUCGGGGAAAUGUGGAACACACGUCCAGCGGGUGAACAAGUAACCGACUGAACUUUCUGGACUCUGCCCUCAGUAGUGCCUGGUGUGGACCCCGUUGGUGCUGGACAGCCUACUGACGGCCACCGAGGAGUACCUUUGGUGACAGCGACAAGGGGGACCUGACUCUGUUCCUGCCAGUGAUAUAGUGUGCUUCUGCAACGUCUCCUGCCAGGCUGUCAAAGGCCGCUCUCCAGACUCACUCUGUGACACUUGGAACACAGACAACUGAGACUCCAACUCCUUGGAUUGACAGUGACAUGGGGACAGGAACAUUGCUAAGAUGUCACAUUACUGCUGGGUUUCAAGUUCAUGCAGUAGGCCAAGUAGAACCCCAAACAUAAAGGCAUGACCUUUUUAACCCCUCAACAGCAUUCCAAUGGAUUAUGAAAGCAUUGCUUUUUUAAUCAUCAUUGGACAGAUAAAGAAACUGAGGCUCAGAAAAGUUCAAGAUCACUCAGCCAAUCAACGGUGAUA